rnacentral:rRNA from 1 species
AACGAACGCUGGCGGCAGGCCUAACACAUGCAAGUCGAACGCCGUAGCAAUACGGAGUGGCAGACGGGUGCGUAACACGUGGGAACAUACCCUUUGGUUCGGAAUAACUCAGGGAAACUUGAGCUAAUACCGGAUAAGCCCUUACGGGGAAAGAUUUAUCGCCAAAGGAUUGGCCCGCGUCUGAUUAGCUAGUUGGUGAGGUAACGGCUCACCAAGGCGACGAUCAGUAGCUGGUCUGAGAGGAUGAUCAGCCACACUGGGACUGAGACACGGCCCAGACUCCUACGGGAGGCAGCAGUGGGGAAUAUUGGACAAUGGGCGCAAGCCUGAUCCAGCCAUGCCGCGUGAGUGAUGAAGGCCUUAGGGUUGUAAAGCUCUUUUACCCGGGAAGAUAAUGACGGUACGGGAGAAUAAGCCCCGGCUAACUUCGUGCCAGCCGCCGCAGU